GUUGUAGUCCGAGGUGGGCAAGCCGCGCUCUACCGGCCGCGGUCCGGCAGCGAAGAACGACUCGGGGCUGAGGUCUGACUCCGGCCGGCCGAGAUCUCACAGGAUCCUGUUGCUUGCUUUGUGUCUUCCCUGGAGCCAUGGUUACAUGAACCUGCCCUCGACAACGCUGCCCUGCCCCUGGCUGGCACGGCCACGUUUCCCCGCGUAGACAUGGGAAGAUGUUGCCUCCGGAGAAGGGGCUCCGGCCGGAGGAACGCGAGACCACCUGCAGGAGGACCCCGGCCGACCUGGACGUCUCCCACCUGCUCCGGAACUUCACCCCCGAGGCCCUCGCACAGCUCCACCAGCUGUGCCACCAGCGGCUUCAGCCCGAGGCGUGCCCCACGGAGCAGGUGCUGCAGCUGGGUGCGUUCCUCAAAGUCCUCCUGCCCAGCAAGGUCCGCUCGGCCCUGGCUGCGGGCGCCCCUGCCCGCGAGCUCCCCGAAGGUGGCCUUCCCGGCGGAGGGCCCCCCCAGAGACCGGGAGGAGCCAGGUGAGGGGAGCACGCCGCAGAGCAGGGGUGGGGAACGUCCGGCCCGCGGGCCGAUGCAGGCCCGCAGAACCAUUCAGUCUGGCCCUGCCCAGGCGUGAGGGGCGAGUUCAUUAAACAUUGGACCAAAUACGGCAGGCUAACGGUUAAGUGGGUCGUUUUGUGUGGCGGCCGAAGGGUGUGAUCAAUACCCGCAUGGCCCAAGGCAGACACGGGCCCCCACCCUGGCUUGAGAGGGAAGGAGAAGGGGCCGGCGCUGGGAGUAGGUGUGAAAUUGACCUCCGGCGACCUAGAUCCCAGGCAGCGGCUCCCCUGAGAGAGUUUAGCUCCCCCACGUGUGAGCGGCUCAGAGGGGAGCGUCCCUCCGCUGAUGGGGCAGCUCCCCAGUCCCCAGGAGCCAGGCCCACCACCCUCGAACCUCGACCCUGGGCUCUGUUACAAAACCGUUGGCCUGGGCGACGCUGACCCCCUCAUGGGGCUUUGGUCGGGGCACCCAGUGUGUUAACUGUCUGAGCUUGGGUGCGUUGUGGGCGUAUUUGACGUGACCUUACAUGAGUUUGCCAGGAGCCCACCUGGGCCUCUGCCCUCCCUGGGCCUUGGAGCCCGCAGCCCCUGCCCGAGACCUGCAGUUCCCGGAUUUGGAAAGGCUCCAUGGUCUGAAGGCACUGGCUUUCCUGUCCUCCCCACCUGGCCUUCGCGGGGCUCCCCUCUCCGGCGGACAGUAGGAGGGCCCCACAGACCCCUGAGCCCCUCAUCGUUUUAAUUUUAGGUCCUUUUCAAUUUGGCUUUCCUCUGAAUUGCCACCACUUCCCACCUGCCCACCCCCCAACCUCUUAGCCUGUCCGUCCCCCAACCCCAAGCUGGGUGUGGGCCCGGUAAUUU